ensembl:lncRNA novel transcript
GGCAGAAAUGGAGUUGAAAUGCAAAUCAAACAAGAGCACAAGCAAGCAAGCAGUAGCAUAAAAUGGAAUGAGUGCAGGUCCGUUCUUUUCAACCUCUGGGGAAAUGACCCUGCCAAUUCAGAAACCCGCAAGAGUUCCUGCCCUAGAGAGUAACUAUCAAUGGCACGCCCGGAAGCUAUGCUGUCAUUCUGAAUAGAUCUGUUUGACUUAUCACUUAAAAGUAAGUGUUUUCACACAUUAAAACAGAAAUUCAGAUUUUAAUUAACCCAGUGAAUUUGCCUGAAAAUAUGCUCCCUGGAACACAACUAAGUCGUGCUUAUGAUAAAGAUGUGGCUGGAAAGGGAGAUGUCUACCGUUUUCUGAAUAAAACAUAAGAUUUUGCCAUCGAUGCAAGUUCUGGUGUAAUCACUGCUACCAAAAUUUUUAAUUAUGAAACAGAUCCAAUAAGGUUUCUUCUGAUUGUUGAUACUGGGAGGCUCUAUAGACAUGUUUUGACCAUUAAUAUUAUUGAUGUUCCCGAAUCUCCAAACUGUACUGCUGAUCCCAAAUUUUCUUCAGGCACAGUUGGAGAGAAUGAAGAAACAAAAUCAUAUGGGAUUGCAAGAGUUGGGUCUGCUGGAUUUCUUUUUAAAGGGAGACAUGAGUAAUUUUACAACAUGGAGAAUCCAUUUGAUGAGGAGGCUGAAGACAAAUAAAGCCAUUUCCUUUGGAUUCUAUUAAUGUGACUGAGAAGAAAUCUGUUGGAGAAAUUAUAGCAAGAGUAAAAGCAACAGAUCGAGAUGAAGAUAGCAGUAUCAUUUAUUCCUUUAAGACUCAGCAGAAAAUGUUUUGUUUGGACCCCUAAGCUGAGCCUUUCAUCACGUGGCUGAGUAUACAGACCUGUUCUAAGAGUCAGAGAAGCUGAAAGAAGAUCCAGCAGUAGGUCAAGCAAUUUCAGAUUUAGCUGAAGCUAGUUCACACCAACAGUAACACAGCAGAUCAACAAAAACAUGGUCACAGGAACAAUCACUCUUCUUCAGCCUUUGAAUCUUGACAACCCAAGUAACUCCAAAAUCUACUCUUUGGAAACUGAGGCAACAGAUAAUGGGAAUAAUACCAGCAGCUAUACGUUUACAGUUUUUGUGGAGAAUGUAGAUGAUCCUAUUUCCUGUGAUCCAAGUUUUUCAACAGGAGCAGGUAUAAUACAAGUCAAUUUUAUUGAUAAAAUUCAUGAGACAAUAAUAAAAUUUAAAAAUAAAACUGGAA